rnacentral:rRNA from 1 species
AGCCUGAACGCUGGCGGCGUGGCUAAGACAUGCAAGUCGCACGGGGUAGCAAUACCCAGUGGCGAACGGGAGAGUAAUGAAUCGCUAACGUACCCCGGACUCUGGGAUAGCCAUCCGAAAGGGUGGGUAAUACCAGAUGACAUACCCGCAGGCAUCUGUGGGGUCUCAAAGGUCUGCC